CCAGAUGUCUAUCGUUUCUUACGGAAAAGAAAAACCAGCCGUACUGGGCCACGACGAAGCAGCCUAUGCUAAAAACCGUCGUGCCGUACUGGUUUACUAAGAGAGCAACAUGAUUAGUAACUUCAGAUCUCGUUUACUG
rnacentral:sRNA from 1 species